rnacentral:lncRNA from 1 species
AAACAGGACUGCAGUGGGCGUUUCACACCUGCGGCGAGAGGAGAGCUGCUGGCAAGCACAGCAAAUCCUAGCCCCUUCCCCCAAGGGGUCGGAGGAGCAAUUGCGUUUUGGCCUCAAAGAGAAAUCCUGUUGACUGGAACAAGGGCUGCUGCAGCCAGGGCUGGAACAAAACUUUUUAAGCCUAGAGCUGAGAAAACACCAGGUGGUAACAGGAGCUGCAAAUUGCUAAGUAACUCUGGCAAAGUUCCUCUGCACCCUCAUUUCCAGAAAAAAGCCCUGAGGCUGUUUUCUCUAUCUGUGGAGCGGCCUCCUUCCUUUAGCGAGUUCAGGUAUUCCCCCUGCCUUGAAAGCGCGCAUCUCCCCUCGCUUUCCCGCACCCCUCUUCUCCUUCCUCUCCUCAGGGUCCUGAGUUCACUUUGCACCCUUUCUGCAGGAUUUGCAGACGUAAGGAGGAGAGCAGCGAGAGCUGAUUUCGCCCCCACCUUUCUCUGCUUCUGCUAUCCAGCGUGCCGUGCACAGCCGUCAUCCAGGAGGCCACCGUUGGUCCUCAGCCUGUGCACGCAGCUGCUCCUGCGUUGCCGUAUGAACGGUCGAGGCUUCGCUGACAGAGAGCCUGGGGCUGCCUGCUUUCAGCCGCUAGAAGAUCAGAUGCCAUUUCAAGCAGGUCUGAGAAGGGACUGAAGAAGGUAAGGACUUCAGUCUCAAGUCAUAUGAAGCAAGAAAUAAGAAUAACUGGAAAUCGAGGACGAGAUGGAAUGCAGGCCGCUAAGGGGUAAGCGUAGCACAGGUAACUUACAAGUUGCUGAAAAGCACCACAAACAAAUGAGGUCUGAGUUCAGUACGUUUAACAAACGUACUCUCAAGUAAUCCUCUAGCAUUUCUCUACUGACUGAACCACAGCCGAGGCUUGCUGCGGGAAUGCAGGAUUUUGCAUGUCAAGCUUGCGAUUAGG